rnacentral:rRNA from 1 species
CCUACGGGGGGCAGCAGUGGGGAAUAUUGCACAAUGGGGGAAACCCUGAUGCAGCGACGCCGCGUGAAGGAAGAAGUAUUUCGGUAUGUAAACUUCUAUCAGCAGGGAAGAAAAUGACGGUACCUGAGUAAGAAGCCCCGGCUAACUACGUGCCAGCAGCCGCGGUAAUACGUAGGGGGCAAGCGUUAUCCGGAUUUACUGGGUGUAAAGGGAGCGUAGACGGUAAUGUAAGUCUGAUGUGAAAGCCCGGGGCUCAACCCCGGGACUGCAUUGGAAACUAUGUAACUAGAGUACCGGAGAGGUAAGCGGAAUUCCUAGUGUAGCGGUGAAAUGCGUAGAUAUUAGGAGGAACACCAGUGGCGAAGGCGGCUUACUGGACGGAAACUGACGUUGAGGCUCGAAAGCGUGGGGAGCAAACAGGAUUAGAUACCCCUGUAG